GGAUAAUCUGGCUGUGAUAUUUGUCACCUCAUGGAUAACUAAGACUGAUUCAAUUGACUGGCUGGCCAGGUGGGCAUCUUCUCCUCACAGUCCAUGUGCAGCCCUCCUGAAGCUUUGUGCUGAGUUGAAAGGCUCAUUUCCGGUGAAGGAUUCUUCAGCCAAGGAUGAUCCAGUGGCUGUCCUCCACUGUCAAAAUCUCCAAACCCACUCUCAUGGUCCCACAUUUAAAAUAGAAAAUAGACUCUGAAGUCUUAUAAAAGUAAUUAUCAAAUGAUCACU
rnacentral:snRNA from 1 species